rnacentral:rRNA from 1 species
CGCGUAGGCGGAUGGUUAAGUCGGAUGUGAAAUCCCCGGGCUCAACCUGGGAACUGCAUUCAAAACUGACGAGCUAGAGUAUGGUAGAGGGUGGUGGAAUUUCCUGUGUAGCGGUGAAAUGCGUAGAUAUAGGAAGGAACACCAGUGGCGAAGGCGACCACCUGGACUGAUACUGACACUGAGGUGCGAAAGCGUGGGGAGCAAACAGGAUUAGAUACCCCCUA